rnacentral:rRNA from 1 species
CCCUUAGAUGUUCUGGGCCGCACGCGCGCUACACUGAUGCAUUCAACGAGCCUAUCCUUGACCGACAGGUCCGGGUAAUCUUUGAAUCUGCAUCGUGACGGGGAUAGAUUAUUGCAAUUAUUAAUCUUCAACGAGGAAUGCCUAGUAGGCGCGAGUCAUCAGCUCGCGUUGAUUACGUCCCUGCCCUUUGUACACACCGCCCGUCGCUACUACCGAUUGAAUGGUUUAGUGAGGACUCCUGAUUGGCGCCGCCGCCCCGGCAACGGAGCAGCGGACUGCCGAAAAGUUGUUCAAACUUGAUCAUUUAGAGGAAGUAAAAGUCGUAACA